CGGGGCGGGGCGGCUGCCUCGCUGCCCUGCCGGGAGAGCUCCUGGCCGAUGGGCCGGGUGUCGGUGCAGCCCGCAGGGCACGGCAGCUCUGGAGUCGGGGGUACGUGGCCGAAGUCAAGUGUGCCCCUGAAAUACGAGCGGUUUCGAGGUGAGGCAGCUGACCCUGUGUUGGUAUAUUAUGAAGGAGGAGCUGCUAAGGAGUGCAUGGAGGAAAUGCAUGGUUCAUAUCAGCUGAGAUGA
rnacentral:lncRNA from 1 species